rnacentral:rRNA from 1 species
AACGAGAAAGUGGAGCAUCCAUGAGUACAGUGGCGUACGGGUGAGUAACACGUGGGUAAUCUGCCUUUUAGUGAGGAAUAACGAUGGGAAACCGUCGCUAAUACCGCAUAAGCCCGAGAGGGGAAAGCAGCAAUGCGCUGAAAGAGGAGCCCGCGGCCGAUUAGCUAGUUGGUAGGGUAAGAGCCUACCAAGGCAUAGAUCGGUAGCCGGCCUGAGAGGGCACACGGCCACACUGGCACUGAAACACGGGCCAGACUCCUACGGGAGGCAGCAGUGGGGAAUCUUGCACAAUGGGGGCAACCCUGAUGCAGCGACGCCGCGUGAGCGAUGAAGCCCUUCGGGGUGUAAAGCUCUUUCGGCAGGGAAGAUUAUGACGGUACCUGCAGAAGCAGCUGCGGCUAACUACGUGCCAGCAGCCGCGGUAAUACGUAGGCAGCGAGCGUUGUUCGGAGUUACUGGGCGUAAAGGGUGUGUAGGCGGUUCCUUAAGUUUGGUGUGAAAUCUCCCGGCUCAACCGGGAGGGUGCGCCGAAUACUGAGGGACUAGAGUGUGGGAGAGGAAAGUGGAAUUCCUGGUGUAGCGGUGAAAUGCGUAGAUAUCAGGAGGAACACCGGUGGUGUAGACGGCUUUCUGGACCAUAACUGACGCUGAGACACGAAAGCGUGGGUAGCAAACAGGAUUAGAUACCCUGGUAGUCCACGCCCUAAACGAUGCAUAUUUUGGUGUGGGUCAUUCAGUUGAUCCGUGCCGGAGCUAACGCGUUAAAUAUG